rnacentral:rRNA from 1 species
AUUGAACGCUGGCGGCAGGCCUAACACAUGCAAGUCGAGCGGGGUGAUGGUGCUUGCACUAUCACUUAGCGGCGGACGGGUGAGUAAUGCUUAGGAAUCUGCCUAUUAGUGGGGGACAACAUCUCGAAAGGGAUGCUAAUACCGCAUACGUCCUACGGGAGAAAGCAGGGGAUCACUUGUGACCUUGCGCUAAUAGAUGAGCCUAAGUCGGAUUAGCUAGUUGGUGGGGUAAAGGCCUACCAAGGCGACGAUCUGUAGCGGGUCUGAGAGGAUGAUCCGCCAAACUGGGACUGAGACACGGCCCAGACUCCUACGGGAGGCAGCAGUGGGGAAUAUUGGACAAUGGGGGGAACCCUGAUCCAGCCAUGCCGCGUGUGUGAAGAAGGCCUUAUGGUUGUAAAGCACUUUAAGCGAGGAGGAGGCUACUCUAGUUAAUACCUAGGGAUAGUGGACGUUACUCGCAGAAUAAGCACCGGCUAACUCUGUGCCAGCCGCCGCAGUAA